GUCACCCUUCUCUUGAGGUACAACAGUGUCUAGUCAUCCUUCCUAUGUCAUCCUUGUGUAAUCAGGAAUAAUUAUCAGCAUUUGUUCUCCUCCUCUUCCUCCUCCUGUCUGUCUGUCUGUCUGUCUGUCUGUCUGUCUGCCUACCAGUUAAAAUGAUCAAUGUAGUCAGUUAUACUUGUGGAUACUGUGUGUGUGUGUGUGUGUGUGUGUGUGUGUGUGUGCGUGCGUGUAUAUGAAUUAAUGUUUAUUGUGAAGUAUCUGCCUGCCUGCUUGCAAAUUAAUUAUCAAUAUAGUUACUGUUUGUGUGUGUUUGUGUGUUAUAAAGCAAUCUUGUAGUGUAUAUUAUUGAUUGUAUUCCACAUGUAUGGGCUGGCCAGACGUGAUGUACUGUGACAGCCAGAACCUUGACAUAUACUGCUUGAUAAAAUGAAAAUAAGCAAAAAUACAUGAAUAAAGUACAAAUUUUGAGCCGAACUAAUGAGGACUUUCUCUCGUCUUUUUCAGAGGUGCGUACAUCUGCGAGUCACUCCAACCAACUUCUUAUAUCCUACCUUAUUCUGAUAUAUUAGGUUAGAUUCAGUUAGGUUACUUAUAUUGGGGGUCUGUCUUCCUUACUAACAAAAUUAACCUAACCCAUUCCUUCCUUCUCGUCAAGCUGUUGGUGGGAGAAGCCCCAGGACUCUCAAGCGUGGGUUGAGUCACAACUGCGGGUGUGCUAGCUCACCUUGAAGUCAGACGGGGCUCACGUGUUGCAGUGUUGCAGUGUUGCAGUGUUGCAGAUCUUCACCCAAACAAGGGGAGUAUUGUUUUUUUGUGUUUUGUAUAUAUAUAUAUUUUUGUGGGGGGAGGGGGUCUGGGGAUAGCUAUCUGCGGUGUGCGUCUGUGCGUGCGUCUGUGUGUGCUUCUGCGUGUGCGUCUGUGUGUGCGUCUGUGCACGUGCGUCUGUGUGCGUGCAUCUGUGUGUAUGUCUUUUUUUUGGUUGUGUGUGUGUGAAUUUUUUUUUGGUAUAAAUAUAUAGGUGGCAGGCCAUAGUGUUAGGAUAUUUGACAGAUUAAUAUAGAAGAUAGUUUAAGUUAGUUAUUGAUAUAGAAGAUGGUUUAAGUUAGUUAAGGGUUAAGUGAGGCAUAGAGAGAGAGAGAGAGAGAGAGAGGGAAGACAGAUAUUAAUAGGAUUAGCUUAUAUUUUUUUUAGGGUUUUAAGUAAGUAUCUAGGUGGCAGGUCAGAAUGAUAUAAUAUUUAACACAGAUUAAUAUAGAAGAUGGUUUUAAGUUAGUAUAUAUCAAAGGGUUAAGUGAGGCAUAGAGAGAGAGAGAGAAAGGGUUAUUAAUUAGGAUGACAGGAGUAUAUAUCAAAGGGUUAAGUGAGGCAUAGAGAGAGAGAGAGAGAGAUAGGGUUAUUAAUAGGAUGACAGGAGUAUAUAUCAAAGGGUUAAGUGAGGCAUAGAAAGGGUUAUUAAUAGGAUUAGGAUGACAGGGUGUAUGAAUGUUUAACUCAGAUUAUAUUGAAAGUUUAUUUCUUUAUAAUCUGAGUUUGUAUGGCAUGUUGAGUAUUAGUAUGUUAUUUUUGUAGUGGUGGUAGUGGUGUUGGGACGUAUGAAUGAUAUUUUUUUUUUUUUUUUUUUGGUGGGGGGGGGCAAGGGGGGUAUAUAUAUAUAGUGUUAUAUAGAUAUUUUUUUUUUUUUAUCCCCAGAUCUUUGGUAAGAGAUCUGGGGAUUGUAUGUAUGUAUGUCUAGCCAGUAUUUUGGUAAGAUACUGGCUAGUGAGUGAGUGAGUGAGUGUGUGUGUGUGUGUGUGUGUGUGUGUAUGUGUGUGUGUGUACGUGUGUGUGUGCGUGCAUAUGUGUGUGUGUGCAGUUUUUUUUUUAGGUUAGGUUAAUUAGUUAAAUAAAUAAAUAAGAGCAUAGAUAUUAGUAAUAAUAAGAAAAUUUGAUAUUAGUAAUAAUAAAAAGAGGGUAAAUAAAUAAAUAAAUAAAUAAAUAUAGGAAUAUU